GUGUGGCCUUCAACCAAGUGAAUGGCUAAAAGGGAGACCACAGAGAAGAUCCCCUAUUGGAUCUAAUCUAUUUAAUUCACCAUUCUGCUAUCCAGCAUGACCAGCCACAUCACCAUUUGGGAUCAGUAAUUGUUGACAACGUCCAUGACUGCUGUAGACCCAUGUCAGUUUUAAAGGUGCUUUCCAAGGUGCUGAAUCAAUUUUGGAGCAAGGUACAAUAUCGUGGACAACACCUUUAAACCCCUAAGCCGAUUCAUUAUCCCACUGAUUUAUAACAUUCUUCUUGUUGUGUGCCUUCAUGUCAUUUCCACCAUAUUUCAAUCCUAAGGCAACCUUAUCAUAGGGAUUUCUUAUCAUAGGGAUCCAGGGAAGUCAUGCUCCCCCUCUAUUCUGCCUUGGUCACGCCACACCUGGAAUACUGUGUCUAAUUCUGGGCACCACAAUUGAAGGGAGAUGUUGACAAGCUGAAAAGUGUCCAGAGGAGGGCAACUAAAAUGAUCAAGGGUCUGGAGAACAUGCCCUAUGAGGAGUGGCUUAAAGAACUGGGCAUGUUUAGCCUGCAGAAGAGAAGGCUGAGAGGAGACAUGAUAGCCAUGUACAAAUACGUGAAGUCAUAGGGAGGAGGGAGGAAGCUUGUUUUCUGCUGCCCUGAAGACUAGGACGCGGAACAAUGUCUUCAAACUACAGGAAAGGAGAUUCCACCUGAACAUCAGGAAGAACUUCCUCACUGUGAGGGCUGUUUGGCAGUGGAACUCUCUGCCCCAGACUGUGGUGGAGGCUCCUUCUUUGGAGGCUUUUAAGCAGAGGCUGGAUGACCAUCUGUCGGGGCUGCUUUGAAUGCAAUUUCCUGCUUCUUGGCAGGGGGUUGGACUGGAUGUCCCAUGAGGUCUCUUCCAACUCUACUAUUCUAUGAUUCUAUGAUUCUAUGAUUCUACUCUAGAUGGGAAGCCUACCAUCAGGGCAAGGCAGCUAGUAUGUGUUCCCUAAGUAAUUAAUGUUUAGAUUAGUGGUUCUCAACCUGUGGAUCCCCAGAGGUUUUAGCCUUCAACUCCCAGAAAUCCUAACAGCUGGUAAACUGGCUGGGAUUUCUGGCAGUUGUAGGCCAAAACACCUGGGGACCCUCAGGUUGAGAACCACUGGUUUAGAGCAAUACUGCACCUGUAAGAAGAACAUACAGCCAAUGGAAGCAGAGUCUAUUCUCUUUCGCCAUUGCAUGGGGCAAAAUACGGAAGAGAGCCGAAGGCAUUAUUUCACCCUCCCAAUUAGACACAAGGUCAAGUGCAAGUUAAAACAGUGA
rnacentral:lncRNA from 11 species